rnacentral:rRNA from 1 species
AUUGAACGCUGGCGGCAUGCCUUACACAUGCAAGUCGAACGGCAGCAUGGAAGAGCUUGCUCUUCUGAUGGCGAGUGGCGAACGGGUGAGUAAAGCGUCGGAACGUACCGUGUAAUGGGGGAUAACGUAGCGAAAGUUACGCUAAUACCGCAUACGACCUGAGGGUGAAAGCAGGGGAUCGCAAGACCUUGCGUUAUACGAGCGGCCGAUGUCAGAUUAGCUAGUUGGUGAGGUAAAGGAUCACCAAGGCGACGAGCUGUAGCGGGUCUGAGAGGAUGAUCCGCCACACCGGGACUGAGACACGGCCCAGACUCCUACGGGAGGCAGCAGUGGGGAAUUUUGGACAAUGGGGGCAACCCUGAUCCGGCCAUGCCGCGUGAGUGAAAAAGGCCUUCGGGUUGUAAAGCUCUUUCGGCCGGGAAGAAAUCGCACAGGCUAAUACUCUGUGUGGAUGACGGUACCGGCAUAAGAAGCACCGGCUAACUACGUGCCAGCAGCCGCGGUAA